CACGUAGUUAGCCGUGGCUUUCUGAUUAGGUACCGUCAAGAUGUGCACAGUUACUUACAUAUUUGUUCUUCCCUAAUAACAGAGUUUUACGAGCCGAAACCCUUCAUCACUCACGCGGCGUUGCUCCGUCAGGCUUUCGCCCAUUGCGGAAGAUUCCCUACUGCUGCCUCCCGUAGGAGUCUGGACCGUGUCUCAGUUCCAGUGUGGCCGAUCACCCUCUCAGGUCGGCUACGUAUCGUCGCCUUGGUAAGCCGUUACCUUACCAACUAGCUAAUACGGCGCGGGUCCAUCUAUAAGUGAUAGCAAAACCAUCUUUCACUUUAGAACCAUGCGGUUCUAAAUAUUAUCCGGUAUUAGCUCCGGUUUCCCGAAGUUAUCCCAGUCUUAUAGGUAGGUUACCCACGUGUUACUCACCCGUCCGCCGCUAACUUCAAAGGAGCAAGCUCCUUAUCUGUUCGCUCGACUUGCAUGUAUUAGGCACGCCGCCAGCGUUCAUCCUGAGCCAGGAUCAAACUCU
rnacentral:rRNA from 1 species